rnacentral:rRNA from 1 species
CGACUCUCGGCAACGGAUAUCUCGGCUCUCGCAUCGAUGAAGAACGUAGCGAACUGCGAUACUUGGUGUGAAUUGCAAAAUCCCGUGAAUCAUCGAGUCUUUGAACGCAAGUUGCGCCCGAKUCCUAGACGAGGGCACGUUUGCCUGGGUGUCACAA